rnacentral:rRNA from 1 species
UACGAGGGGAGCUAGCGUUAUUCGGAAUUACUGGGCGUAAAGCGCACGUAGGCGGCUUUGUAAGUAAGGGGUGAAAGCCCAGAGCUCAACUCUGGAAUUGCCUUUUAGACUGCAUCGCUUGAAUCCAGGAGAGGUGAGUGGAAUUCCGAGUGUAGAGGUGAAAUUCGUAGAUAUUCGGAAGAACACCAGUGGCGAAGGCGGCUCACUGGACUGGUAUUGACGCUGAGGUGCGAAAGCGUGGGGAGCAAAC